UUAAAACACUGGUUCUCAUAUGAUCACUGAAAUUAAGCAAUGUUGAGCCUGUUCAGUGCUUAGGUGGGUAACCGCUUGGGGAUACUAGGUGCUGUAA